rnacentral:rRNA from 1 species
UGGGGAAUUUUGGACAAUGGGCGAAAGCCUGAUCCAGCAAUGCCGCGUGUGUGAAGAAGGCCUUCGGGUUGUAAAGCACUUUUGUCCGGAAAGAAAUCCUUGGCUCUAAUACAGUCGGGGGAUGACGGUACCGGAAGAAUAAGCACCGGCUAACUACGUGCCUGCAGCCGCGGUAAUACGUAGGGUGCAAGCGUUAAUCGGAAUUACUGGGCGUAAAGCGUGCGCAGGCGGUUUGCUAAGACCGAUGUGAAAUCCCCGGGCUCAACCUGGGAACUGCAUUGGUGACUGGCAGGCUAGAGUAUGGCAGAGGGGGGUAGAAUUCCACGUGUAGCAGUGAAAUGCGUAGAGAUGUGGAGGAAUACCGAUGGCGAAAGCAGCCCCCUGGGCCAAUACUGACGCUCAUGCACGAAAGCGUGGGGAGCAAACAGGAUUAGAUACCCUGGUGAGUCCAGCCGCCCCUAAAACGAUGUCAACUAGUUGUUGGGGAUUCAUUUCCUUAGUAACGUAGCUAACGCGUGAAGUUGACCGCCUGGGGAGUACGGUCGCAAGAUUAAAACUCAAAGGAAUUGACGGGG